rnacentral:rRNA from 1 species
UACGAAGGGGGCUAGCGUUGCUCGGAAUCACUGGGCGUAAAGCGCACGUAGGCGGCUUACUAAGUCAGGGGUGAAAUCCUGGAGCUCAACUCCAGAACUGCCUUUGAUACUGGUGAGCUUGAGUCCGGAAGAGGUGAGUGGAACUGCGAGUGUAGAGGUGAAAUUCGUAGAUAUCUGGAGGAACACCGGUGGCGAAGGCGGCAUCCUGGACCGGCAUUGACGCUGAGGCGCGAAAGCGUGGGGAGCAAACAGG